rnacentral:rRNA from 1 species
CCCUUAGAUGUCCUGGGCCGCACGCGUGCUACACUGAUGCAUACAGCGAGUACUUUCCAGCUCCGCGAGGCAGCUGGUAAUCAGCAAUAUGCAUCGUGCUGGGGAUAGAUCUUUGGAAUUAUAGAUCUUGAACGAGGAAUUCCUAGUAAGCGCAAGGCAUUAGCUUGCGCUGAUUAAGUCCCUGCCCUUUGUACACACCGCCCGUCGCUCCUACCGAUUUCGAGUGAUUCGGUGAACCUUUUGGACAGCGUCUGUCCUCGUGUCAGAUGCUGAAAGUCAAGUAAACCAUAUCACUUAGAGGAAGGAGAAGUCGUAACA